rnacentral:lncRNA from 1 species
AUCCGUAUCGGUCCGAGCACUGAUUACUGGUAUUGAUUACCAGAUAAGUCAGUUACUAGUUAGUACUGAUUAUUGGUAUUGAUUACCAGUUAGUCUGAGCGAGUACGCGAAGUAGAGUAUUGGGCUUCGGAGUCGAAGCUUUGUUGGGUAUUCGUUAAUUCGGCUUCUGAUGAGUAACAAGUACUCGAAUACCGAUUAAUUACUUUUUUCCCACCACUGGUACACCCCGAGCGGGGAAGGACGCGAGCGGAAGAUGUGACGGCACGUGCUUGCGCCAUUUCCCAUUUCAAUACAGUGCUGACUUUGUGUGCAUCUCGAGACUGCGCAUAGCAACUGGUUCAACAGUUCUAUACGCUCCUGUGAGUCCCCCUUUCUGUAAAGGACUUACGCCUCUCUGCAGCUGCAGCUCUCUGCAAGCCGAAGCCAUAGGGCCAUGGUUGCACCACUCCCAGCCAAACCACCAUUCCCCGUAUUUGGGGAUCGGUGAGAUUAUAGCAGCUCUUAACCUAUAUAAGCUUAACCCAUAUCUUGACCUAUAUACCACCUUAACCUACAUCUUAACCUAUAUAAUAUAUUUAUAUUAUUAGGGUAAUUUAGAAA